rnacentral:sRNA from 1 species
UUUAAUGGGUUAAAGAGUUGCGAUUUGAACUGCCGAAGGCGGUUCGACUCGAGCGCCAGCGAGAGAACGUCGGAGCACCGCGACGACGGCCCAAAGGGCGAGGCGAAGCCGAGUAAUCUGCCUGGUCCUACCA